AGAGUUUGAUCCUGGCUCAGGAUGAACGCUAGCGGCAGGCCUAAUACAUGCAAGUCGAACGCGAUUGGGGAGCUUGCUCCCCAUGAAAGUGGCGCACGGGUGCGUAACGCGUAUGCAACCUACCUUAAUCAGGGGGAUAGCCCGGAGAAAUCCGGAUUAACACCGCAUAAAAUCACAAUCUGGCAUCAGAAAAUGAUCAAAUAUUUAUAGGAUUAAGAUGGGCAUGCGUGACAUUAGUUAGUUGGUAAGGUAACGGCUUACCAAGACGACGAUGUCUAGGGGAUCUGAGAGGAUGACCCCCCACACUGGUACUGAGACACGGACCAGACUCCUACGGGAGGCAGCAGUAAGGAAUAUUGGUCAAUGGAGGCAACUCUGAACCAGCCAUGCCGCGUGCAGGAAGACGGCCCUACGGGUUGUAAACUGCUUUUGUACCGGAAUAAACCCCGAUUCGUGAAUCGGGUUGAAUGUACGGUAAGAAUAAGGAUCGGCUAGCUCCGUGCCAGCAGCCGCGGUAAUACGGAGGAUCCAAGCGUUAUCCGGAUUUAUUGGGUUUAAAGGGUGCGUAGGCGGCCUGUUAAGUCAGGGGUGAAAGACGGUGGCUCAACCAUCGCAGUGCCCUUGAUACUGAUGGGCUUGAAUACACUAGAGGUAGGCGGAAUGUGACAAGUAGCGGUGAAAUGCAUAGAUAUGUCACAGAACACCGAUUGCGAAGGCAGCUUACUAUGGUGUCAUUGACGCUGAGGCACGAAAGCGUGGGGAUCAAACAGGAUUAGAUACCCUGGUAGUCC
rnacentral:rRNA from 1 species